UCACUUACCCAACAGGAGAAAGACUGAGAUCAAUAACAUAGCCUUUCUGGGUAAGAAUAUUCUUUGCAUUCCAGGUGUGCUGACUCUUGUGAUUUCCCUGAAUGUGGAGAAGCCGACUGCAUAAUCUGUAGUGA
ensembl:snRNA U1 U1 spliceosomal RNA